rnacentral:rRNA from 1 species
AUUUUGGACAAUGGGCGAAAGCCUGAUCCAGCAAUGCCGCGUGAGUGAAGAAGGCCUUCGGGUUGUAAAGCUCUUUUGUCAGGGAAGAAACCGUGAGAGCUAAGAUCCCUCGCUACUGACGGUACCUGAAGAAUAAGCACCGGCUAACUACGUGCCAGCAGCCGCGGUAAUACGUAGGGUGCAAGCGUUAAUCGGAAUUACUGGGCGUAAAGAGUGCGCAGGCGGUUUUGUAAGUCUGAUGUGAAAUCCCCGGGCUCAACCUGGGAAUUGCAUUGGAGACUGCAAGGCUAGAAUCUGGCAGAGGGGGGUAGAAUUCCACGUGUAGCAGUGAAAUGCGUAGAUAUGUGGAGGAACACCGAUGGCGAAGGCAGCCCCCUGGGUCAAGAUUGACGAUCAUGCACGAAAGCGUGGGGAGCAAACA